rnacentral:rRNA from 1 species
GACGAACGCUGGCGGCGUGCCUAAUACAUGCAAGUCGAACGCAGUGGGGACGGGUGAGUAAAACGUGGGUAACCUCCCAUCAGAGGGGAUAAAACUUGGCAACAGGUGCUAAACCGAAACGGAUGGAUGGACCCGGGGUGCAUUAGCUAGUUGGUGAGGUAACGGCUCACCAAGGCCACGAUGCAUACCCGACCUGAGAGGGUGAUCCGCCACACUGGGACUGAGACACGGCCCAGACUCCUACGGGAGGCAGCAGUGGGUAAUCUUCGACAAUGGACGAAAGCCUGACCGAGCAACGCAGCGUGAGUGAAGAAGGUUUUCGGGUCGUAAAACUCUUUUGUCAGAGAAGCGGUAUCUAACCAGAAAGCCACGGCUAACUACGUGCCAGCAGCCGCGGUAAUAC